rnacentral:misc_RNA from 1 species
GAUGAAGAACGUAGCGAAAUGCGAUAAGUAAUGUGAAUUGCAGAAUUCAGUGAAUCAUCGAAUCUUUGAACGCACAUUGCGCCCGCCAGUAUUCUGGCGGGCAUGCCUGUUCGAGCGUCAUUUCAACCAUCAAGCCCCAGGUUUGUGUUGGAGCCCUGCGGCUGCCGCAGCCUCCCAAAACCAGUGGCGGGCUCGCUAUCACACCGAGUGCAGUAGUUUACUCUUCGCUCAGGGCGUGUGGCGGGUGCUAGCCGUAAAACCCCCAACUUCUCAAGGUUGACCUCGGAUCAGGUAGGAAUACCCGCUGAACUUAAGCAUAUCAAUAAGCGGAGGA